UUUUAUGUGAAAUUCUAAAAUUAUAUUUAUUGGCCAAUUCACAGAAAGUGCCAUAGUGACCACAAAAAUGAACCUGGUUUUAUACAUGUACAGAUGUACAGGCCAGAUUUUAAAAUAACAGAUCUAUUUCCAUUAUGCAUUUAAUCAGGUGGCAAACACAUGGAUAUUAACAAUCUUGAGUUCAUAAAUGACUGUGCAAAUCGACAUGGCUUAUUACGAAAUACACCACUAUGCCAUGGAAGGGGUUUUGUACAACUUAUUCCUACUAUAUGUACUUUACUGUGUCAAAAUUUACUGAGCAUUUUCCUGAAGAAAAGGUCGUUUUCCUUUUUUACAAAAACCAAACCAGCAGAUUUGUAUCUGUGUUCAUAAAUUAUUUUCAUUUCAUAUUCACCUUUUUAAUUGCAUAUGGUCAUUUAAUUUCUCAUUCUGCAUAAAUUGUAUAGAUUAGCACUUUCAUAAAUGCAUUUAGCAUCUGCAAUGACAUGUCAAGAAGUGGUUUAUGAUUGACAUAUACGUUAGGUAUUUUUAACAAUGAGCAUCUCUCCUGAUGUGUCUGUUGUUUUGAGACACACUAAAGGGGUCACAACUCCUUAAUGAUAUGUUUAUUCGAAUCCCAUCUGAUGUAUUUUUUUUAUUAUCAAUAGAAGUGGCCACAACUAUACCAAGACUGGACUGCUAGGAAAAAAUCCUGAGCUACAAAAUAUACGCUACCAACUGCAGUUACUGCUCCUCAACAAGAACUAAUGCACCAACAUGGAAGUAAAUCAGGGAAAUGAUGAACUGUGUAUGAAAAGUUCUAGAUUUGUGCAGAUAGAUGAAGUAUCACUUUUACUGUUAAGCUAUGAUGAAAUAUGAAAUAGAACUGUCCCAGUCAACUAGAGCGUGCAGCUGUCAGAUUCAACAUGCUGAGAUUAUUUUUUAGCUCUUCAAAAUCCUACACUAACAGAUUUCAUAACUAUAUGGCUAAUUCUAACCAGAAACAACCCCUUCCACCAAACGCCAACAAUAUUCAGGGUGAAUGUCUGAUUCCUGCUCUGCUACUCAUCACAGCUUAAGUCAUGCUUCACAGUUCCUUGCUCAGGAAUUCCUCUUCUUUUUUCUCUCCCUUUGUGUUACAACCUCACUUUGCAUGGCUUCAUCAUCUCCCUACAUAGUCUACUAGAUUUAAGUUAGUCUUCAUGCAGUGGCUGGUUUUGGAAAGGUGGGCAAAAGAGAAGUGACAGGAAGCUAUAAUGACACCGUUUUGUAGAAAACAGAAUGCUAUUUCUGCUAGCUUUUCUUAUCCAUUGUAUUAGCCAAUGCCAAAGCAGUCAUCUUCUGUUCAUGUGACCUAAAACCAAUGAUGGCAAUUUGUCAUUCCCUACAAUAUUAUUUAUACAAUGCUGUUUGACACCUAUUAGGGGUAGAGAAGUGCUGAGGGAAGCAUAUAGCAUCCUUAAGUCAACACUUAGCGUGCCUGCUCUCCCUUUUACAACAAUCCUUUUAGAUAGAGCAAAUGAGGAUGAUGGUUUUGUUUCACUUGGGUCUUAGUGAUGCGGUGGAACUUUGAGCACAAGGAUUUUAGUUCUGUUCUGGCUUUCAGGUACAGAAAGUAGGGUUAGAAGAAGGAAAUACAUCAAAUAAAAGACGUGGGUUGACUUUGUACAUCUUUCUCUGUUUUAAACUGGGGUUUGCUUGAGACAUGCUUGAAAACUAACCAUAUAGUCAUGGUGUCACUCAGAGACCAUAAAUGCAUUGCAGAUUUGCAGUAUUAUGUUAUGCAUGGCAGUACUUGGAAAAGUUGGCACAAUUCUAUUUCUUUGCAGCAGUUACCAUAUGGCUAGAAAUCUUGAGUAACUGGUUUAGAAAGCAGGUGCAUUAUACCAACGAGAUUUGAGGUGGCACAACAUAUACUAAUCUGUCCUAAAGGAAUGUACUGGUAAUAGUUACUGUUUAGCAUAGGGACACUUAAAAGCAUGAAUGACAAUGUCUGUUUUCAACCUAAUUAUGACAAUCUAAAUGUUAACAAAUUACUACUUUGCAUUAUUGUUUGGUUGGCUAUUAAGGUUUAUAGGCUGGCUUUGUUAAAUCAUACUGACAUGAAAGACACUGCCACAUUUACAUUAUAUGAGAACUUACCCAUAGAUUACAGCAAUAAUUUUUUAAGAUCAAGUUUCAAUAAGAAUUUAUUGUUUAGCCUUUGUCAACCUCUGCAGUCACACACACACCAACACAGAGCACGUGAACAGAGUGAAGUGACCAUUACUAACUUACAGAAAUACCAGGUUUUUAGUUUGUGUAUUAAUGACAUUGUACAGAAAGAGUGAGACCGAAGACAGAAAUGUGAGACUGAAGGAAUGAACUGGAAGGAGGAGGGAUUCAUAAAUGCUCUAAUAAAUGACCAACUUGGUAACUAUCUGCAAAUAUUCAAAGGAUAUAUAUCACCGUUAGAGGAAUCAUUUAGGGUGGUGCAAAAGAUGUAACUGGGACUAAUGAGAUAAAAAUUACAAAAAGGAUUAUUUAAAUUCAUUAUCAGGAAAAGCUUUCAAAUAGACUGUAGAAUUACCUCCUAGGGGAAGAAGUAGAAGCUUAAAAAUAUCUAAGUAGGUUGAAACACCCCCACCCCUAACACUAGAAAAUAUAUUCUAGGGAACAAUUAAUUCAGCACCGUUAGCAUAGUAUUUUACCAGUACUACUUUUUAUUUGUGUCUUUUAAUCUUUAGUUCUAGGAUUUAAUGAGUCAAGCAGCAACUUCUAAAUAACUGAAACUUAAAUGAAACAGUUACUAGGAAUCCUAACUGUAGUGUGUAUUACUCUGCAAAGCAACAAUUCCAUUCCUGUUGUGAUGACCCUUUGAACAGAACUGUCUGUUAACCACAAUUAUGUAUUUACUCAAGCUUCUGUUGGUGCAGUAUUUACAACAGAAUAUAAAAACCCUCAUCUUUUGAGAAGUAGCUCACAUUACUUGGAUCAGUUUGUGGAGGAGCUAACAAGGAGCUACAUGAUCAAAUCCUUCAACAUCCUAUAUUUGUUUUCCUCCUCACUGAUUCCGAUAGCUGUCAGUUCUGGACAUGAAGAUAGCGUAUUUCCAUUUUCUUACUGUUUGACACUCAAGAUUCUAAUGUCUCUUGUUUCUAGAAGAUUAAAUUCCAGGUUUUUUUUUUUUUUGCCCAUCAGCUGGAGACCUUAACUUUUUGUUUUCUAUUCAUGCCUUAUUCUCUUCCCUAAAAAAUGGUUCAAUAUUCUGAACGAACUGACUGCAGUCAAACCAUUCCACAUUCCAAAGCGCAUGCCCAGUUAAAACCACCAUCCACCUUCCCACCUGUGUGUGUGCACACUAAGCAGAGUGUAGACAAGAAUGUGUUGCCAAUUUCUGUACUGGUUUGAAAUGUCACUGUAGUCACAGACAUGGUCAGGGUUAUCUGAUCGAGUCUUUUUGCGUCUGUUUAUAUAUUUAGGGGAGGCAGGAAUAGAAAGAAUCUAAUUUUAACAAUUUGUUUUUGUUCUUUUAUCCUUAGGUUAUCCUGAACUCUUCAGCCAAAUCACUUCAUGGGUUAAUAUGCAUAAGGAACCUGGAAGAACUUCAUAUCCAGGUAGGAAGAUAAACCCCUCUGAAAACCCAAAACCGUCCAUAUUCUAUACAAAAAUAAUAGGGCAGCAAAAAGGCCUUUUACUCCCAUGAAAUCUUCCGUGUUUCUGAAACAUGCGAAUAGAAUAUGAUUGUAAAUCCUUAGUCUCCCAUUCGGAGCCAGCUUCUCUUUGUUUUGAGCAGGCUUUAUGCACUUACCCUACUGAAAGCUGCACUCUCAUUGUACAAUAUAUUUAGCUGGGAAAAGUAAUUCUUCAGCUUGUUUUCAGCAUAGGCAUAAAUAAUGACAGUACAUGGCCCUAUAGCUUGAACAGCUGAUGAAUACACAAUUUCCCCAUGAGUAAGAGUUGAAAAUAGAAAUGAGGGCUUUUUCUGAAUGUUGCUUUAAAUGUUUGUAAUAUUUCAAACUUGUAUUUCUUCAUAUGCCAUAACUAAUGAAAGAAGAGCCCAGAAUUCUUGACUGUAACCAUUAUGUCAUUCAUUUUGGGUGUGUAUAGGGUGCUCCACAAUGGAGGGCUGUAAGUAGAGCUGCGAGAGAAUUACUGAAUCAGAACAUGACCAAGCUCUUGGACAGUGCUUUUCAGCUACAGGUCUCAUAGUACUUUGAUGUCGGUGUCAUUAUUCGUAUUUACAAGCAGAGAAAUGGGACUUGGAACUAGCAAGCUACUGUCAAUAUCUACUCAAAAAAGCAGCAAAGUUCCUCUAGGGAAAUAGACUUCCGGAUCUGGUAACUGCCUUUUCGUCACCAGGAAUAUGAAUGUAUAAAACAUACUGGGUUCAUUUCCUGUGUGUUAGGCUGCAAUAAUGUGGGUUAGAAGUGUUUGUUAUCUUAAACCCCUUUGUUAGAUAGAGGUUUGUGAAAUGAAUGCCCUUGCUCCCCUUUCAGUUUUGUUCUGUUCAAGCAUUGUGAGUUUUUAUUUUAUGAUGUCUUCCUUAGGGAGGGAAAAAAAAAAAAGAAAAACCCAACAACAAAGAAAUCACCCCCCCAAAACAACCUGUACCAGGGUUGUGCCUUGUUAUCUGUACAAAAGUAAUGAAAUAUAAUUACCUCGUGAGAUACCACUGGAGUAACUUUCUUAAUAGAUUUAACAGAAAUGCUUCUUGAGAUUGGGUGUGUUAAGAGGGUAUGUGCUUUACACUGCUGUAAUUUUCGUGCUCAUCUUUCAAACCUGUCUUUAUUUUCCACCCUAAUUAAACAGAAUCUGGAUUUCAGGAGAGCCUACCAAAAAAAAAAAA
ensembl:lncRNA